GGGGAAGCUCUCUUGUAUUAGUUUGUCUUGUUUGUAAACUUGGAGUUUGACGUUUGCACUGAUUGUGUUCAAUGCCCGUCUCAAAGGCCUGUGAAGUGGGGUUUGCUGUGGAUAUGGUACUGCAGGAAUUGUCGGGUAGAUGUCCAACAAGCAGGAAUCCAUUUGAGUCGCUGUUGAUGUUAUCAGUUUUGUUGGCACUUUCUUGGCAUGAACAUUGUGGUAGUCAUCAAUCAAGAGAAUGGCAAAGCAGUUGAGCU